UACGUAGGGUGCGAGCGUUGUCCGGAAUUACUGGGCGUAAAGAGCUCGUAGGUGGUUUGUCACGUCGUCUGUGAAAUUCCGGGGCUUAACCUCGGGCGUGCAGGCGAUACGGGCAAUACUUGAGUGCUGUAGGGGAGACUGGAAUUCCUGGUGUAGCGGUGAAAUGCGCAGAUAUCAGGAGGAACACCAAUGGCGAAGGCAGGUCUCUGGGCAGUUACUGACGCUGAGGAGCGAAGGCAUGGGUAGCGAACAGGAUUAGA
rnacentral:rRNA from 1 species